GACGAACGCUGGCGGCGCGCUUAACACAUGCAAGUCGAACGGAAAGGCCUGCUUUCCCUUGUGGAUUGCGGGUACUCGAGUGGCGAACGGGUGAGUAACACGUGAGUGAUCUGCCCCCAACUUGGGUAUAAGCCUGGGAAACUGGGUCUAAUUCCCGAUAGGACUGCAGGGUGGUGCCUGUGGUGGAAAACGAUUUUCUAGUGGUUGGGGAUGAGCUCGCGGCCUAUCAGCUUGUUGGUGGGGUAAUGGCCUACCAAGGCGGCGACGGGUAGCCGGCCUGGGAGGGUGGACGGCCACAUUGGGACUGAGAUACGGCCCAGACUCCUACGGGAGGCAGCAGUGGGGAAUAUUGCACAAUGGGCGGAAGCCUGAUGCAGCGACGCCGCGUGGGGGAUGACGGCCUUCGGGUUGUAAACUCCUUUCGACCGCGAGGAAGCCACCCGGUUGGAAGGGUGGUGACGGUAGUGGUAGAAGAAGCACCGGCUAACUACGUG
rnacentral:rRNA from 1 species